UACGUAGGGUGCGAGCGUUGUCCGGAAUUACUGGGCGUAAAGAGCUCGUAGGCGGUUUGUCGCGUUGUUCGUGAAGUGCCACAGCUUAACUGUGGGCGUGCGGGCGAUACGGGCAGACUGGAGUACUGCAGGGGAGACUGGAAUUCCUGGUGUAGCGGUGGAAUGCGCAGAUAUCAGGAGGAACACCGGUGGCGAAGGCGGGUCUCUGGGCCGAUAUCGACGCUGAGGAGCGAAAGCGUGGGGAGCGAACAGG
rnacentral:rRNA from 1 species